GAAGUAGCUCAGCUUGGUAGAGCACUUGGUUUGGGACCAAGGGGUCGUAGGUUCGAAUCCUGUCUUCC
rnacentral:tRNA from 1 species